UGGUGCCAGCAGCCGCGGUAAUUCCAGCUCCAAUAGCGUAUAUUAAAGUUGUUGCAGUUAAAAAGCUCGUAGUUGAAUUUCGGGAUUAGUACGUUGGUCGUGCCUUAGGUACGUACUGGUGUUACUGGUUCCUACCUUCUGACGAACCAUCAUGUCAUUAAUUUGGUGUGGCGGGGAAUCAGGACUGUUACUUUGAAAAAAUUAGAGUGUUUAAAGCAGGCUCGCGCUUGAAUACAUUAGCAUGGAAUAAUGAAAUAGGACGUUGACCCUAUUUUGUUGGUUUCUAGGAUUGACGUAAUGAUUAAUAGGGAUAGUUGGGGGCAUUAGUAUUCAAUUGUCAGAGGUGAAAUUCUUGGAUUUAUUGAAGACUAACUACUGCGAAAGCAUUUGCCAAGGAUGUUUUCAUUAAUCAAGAACGAAAGUUAGGGGAUCGAAGACGAUCAGAUACCGUCGUAGUCUUAACCAUAAACUAUGCCGACUAGGGA
rnacentral:rRNA from 2 species